GGCAGCUUAGGAUUCAUUAUUCUUUGCUCAUUCCUUCUAUUCUUUUCUCUAUACGUUGGUGUUCUAACCAAUAAUCACCGAUACGAUAUUCUGUUCGAUAAACGUAUUCCACUCUGUUAAACUAUAUGUUUAACUAUCAGAAAACUUCAAUCCAUAACCUUACUAUCAAACAAGAUGAUUAAUCAUCAGAAGAUUCAGAACUAUAAAGUAGGUACUUAGAAUCAAGAUGCUUGUUUAAUAAAGACUAUAUGCUACCAAGGUGAUUGCAGUAGAUCGGAAUAAGAGUUGGAUACGACACUAAAAGGCUUAAAGAAGUGGCUCAUUUUAUCAUUAAAUUAAAUUAAGAAAAGUUGUUUUAUGUAUUCGGAUUAUCCAAUAUAAAAGCUACCUUUGUAAAACAUGAGUUUAUUCCUAUCUGU
rnacentral:lncRNA from 1 species